rnacentral:rRNA from 1 species
GACGAACGCUGGCGGCGUGCUUAACACAUGCAAGUCGAACGGAAAGGCCUGCUUUCCCUUGUGGAUUGCGGGUACUCGAGUGGCGAACGGGUGAGUAACACGUGAGUGAUCUGCCCCCAACUUGGGUAUAAGCCUGGGAAACUGGGUCUAAUUCCCGAUAGGACUGCAGGGUGGUGCCUGUGGUGGAAAACGAUUUUCUAGUGGUUGGGGAUGAGCUCGCGGCCUAUCAGCUUGUUGGUGGGGUAAUGGCCUACCAAGGCGGCGACGGGUAGCCGGCCUGAGAGGGUGGACUGCCACAUUGGGACUGAGAUACGGCCCAGACUCCUACGGGAGGCAGCAGUGGGGAAUAUAGCACAAUGGGCGGAAGCCUGAUGCAGCGACGCCGCGUGGGGGAUGACGGCCUUCGGGUUGUAAACUCCUUUCGACCGCGAGGAAGCCACCUGGUUGGAAGGGUGGUGACGGUAGUGGUAGAAGAAGCACCGGCUAACUACGU